rnacentral:rRNA from 1 species
CCUACGGGAGGCAGCAGUGAGGAAUAUUGGUCAAUGGACGAGAGUCUGAACCAGCCAAGUAGCGUGAAGGAUGACUGCCCUAUGGGUUGUAAACUUCUUUUAUAUGGGAAUAAAACAGGGUAUGCAUACCCUCUUGUAUGUACCAUAUGAAUAAGGAUCGGCUAACUCCGUGCCAGCAGCCGCGGUAAUACGGAGGAUCCGAGCGUUAUCCGGAUUUAUUGGGUUUAAAGGGAGCGUAGGUGGAUUGUUAAGUCAGUUGUGAAAGUUUGCGGCUCAACCGUAGAAUUGCAGUUGAAACUGGCAGGCUUGAGUACAGUAGAGGUAGGCGGAAUUCGUGGUGUAGCGGUGAAAUGCUUAGAUAUCACGAAGAACUCCGAUUGCGAAGGCAGCUCACUGGACUGCAACUGACACUGAUGCUCGAAAGUGUGGGUAUCAAACAGGAUUAGAUACCCGUGUAGUC